rnacentral:rRNA from 1 species
GCUAAUAAUAGCCCCAAUACCCAUAAAAACAACUAAUACCAAAUCAACAAAACAAAACAUUUAUAUUAUCCAAGUAUAGGAGAUAGAACAGAUCACACACGGAGCUAUAACACUAGUACCGCAAGGGAAAUAUGAAAGACCAAUUAAAAGCAAUACAAAGCAAAGAUUAAACCUUAUACCUUUUGCAUAAUGGUUUAGCCAGUCAAACCGGACAAAAAGAAUUAUGCCCGCCCUCCCGAAAUCAAGUGAGCUACUAUAAAACAGUAAAUAAGAACAAACUCAUCUAUGUAGCAAAAUAGUGAGAAGAUUUUAUAGUAGAGGUGAAAGGCCAACCGAACUUGAAGAUAGCUGGUUGUCCAAAACAUGAAUUUUAGUUCAACUUUAAAUUAUAAUUAAAGUCCAAAUAACCAUAACUUAAACUUAAAGCAUAAUCUAAAGAGGGACAACUCUUUAGAUCACGUAGACAAACUUCCUUAGAGGAUAAUGUUAAUUAACAUAAACCAUAGUAGGCCUAAAAGCAGCCAUCAAUUAAGAAAGCGUUAAAGCUCAAAUCCACUACAAACCCUAAUACCAACAAUUCACCAAAUUCCCUAAACCAAUAUUGGACGAUUCUAUACUUAUAUAAAAGACAUAAUGCUAAAAUCAGUAACAAGAAACAAUUCUCCUAGCACAAGCCUACAUUAGCAACGGAAUAACCACUAACAAUUAACAAACAAACAAUUAAUAAACACAAACUAGAAAAAAAAUUACUAAACCAUUGUUAACCCAACACAGGAGUGCAUAAAGGAAAGAUUAAAAAGAAUAAAAGGAACUCGGCAAAUACAAACCCCGCCUGUUUACCAAAAACAUCACCUCUAGCAUACCAAGUAUUAGAGGCAUCGCCUGCCCAGUGAACUAAACUUCAACGGCCGCGGUAUCCUGACCGUGCAAAGGUAGCAUAAUCACUUGUCUCUUAAAUGGGGACUAGUAUGAAUGGCAUCACGAGGGUUUAACUGUCUCUUAUUCUCAAUCAGUGAAAUUGACCUUCCCGUGCAGAGGCGGGAAUAAACCUACAAGACGAGAAGACCCUAUGGAGCUUAAGAUUCAUAGUCUAAACCAAACCAAAUCAAACCCAAAAGGCAUAACACAACAACUAACUAGACUAUUAACCUUUGGUUGGGGUGACCUCGGAGCACAACAAAACCUCCGAAUGACAUAACCUAGAUCCACAAAUCCAAGUGUGAUAACCACCAGUAAUUGACCCAUAUAAUGAUCAACGGAACAAGUUACCCUAGGGAUAACAGCGCAAUCCUAUUCAAGAGCCCAUAUCGACAAUUAGGGUUUACGACCUCGAUGUUGGAUCAGGACAUCCAAAUGGUGCAACCGCUAUUAAUGGUUCGUUUGUUCAACGAUUAAAGUCCUACGUGAUCUGAGUUCAGACCGGAGCAAUCCAGGUCGGUUUCUAUCUGUAUAUUAAUUUCUCCCAGUACGAAAGGACAAGAGAAAUAAGGCCAACAUUACUAAUGAGCCUCAGAAAAAAGAUAUGAACAAAUCUAAAUAUCUUAGCCCAAUAACUCAACACUCUAAAAAAGAGUCA